UACAGAGGUCCCAAGCGUUGUUCGGAUUCAUUGGGCGUAAAGGGUGCGUAGGCGGCGCGGUAAGUCGGGUGUGAAAUCUCGGAGCUUAACUCCGAAACUGCAUUCGAUACUGCCGUGCUUGAGGACUGGAGAGGAGACUGGAAUUUACGGUGUAGCGGUGAAAUGCGUAGAUAUCGUAAGGAAGACCAGUGGCGAAGGCGGGUCUCUGGACAGUUCCUGACGCUGAGGACGACG
rnacentral:rRNA from 1 species